GACGAACGCUGGCGGCGUGCUUAACACAUGCAAGUCGAACGGUGAAGGGACUGGUUUUGCUGGUCCUGGAUGAGUGGCGAACGGGUGAGUAACACGUGAGUAACCUGCCCCCUUCUUCUGGAUAACCGCAUGAAAGUGUGGCUAAUACGGGAUAUUCUGGGUCUGUCGCAUGGUGGGCCUGGGAAAGAUUGCGCCUUUUUUGGUGUUUCUGGUGGGGGAUGGGCUCGCGGCCUAUCAGCUUGUUGGUGGGGUGAUGGCCUACCAAGGCGGUGACGGGUAGCCGGCCUGAGAGGGUGGACGGUCACACUGGGACUGAGACACGGCCCAGACUCCUACGGGAGGCAGCAGUGGGGAAUAUUGCACAAUGGGCGAAAGCCUGAUGCAGCGACGCCGCGUGAGGGAUGGAGGCCUUCGGGUUGUGACCCUCUUUCGCCAGUGAAGCAGGCCUGCCUCUUUUUGUGGGUGGGUUGACGGUAGCUGGAUAAGAAGCGCCGGCUAACUACGUG
rnacentral:rRNA from 1 species